UAAAUUGCCGCGGUAUCCUGACCGUGCAAAGGUAGCAUAAUAAUUAGUUUUUUUAUUGAAAGCUGGAAUGAAUGAUUGGACGAGGGAAUAGCUGUCUCUGGAGAAUUUAUUUUUAAACUUAACUUUUAAGUUAAAAGGCUUAAAUUUGUUUUAAAGACGAGAAGACCCUAUAGAGUUUUAUGACUUGAUUGAUUAAAAAUUUUUGGUUAUUCUAUAUUUUGAUCUUUUUUGUUAUUUGGUUGGGGUGAUCUAAAGAUUUAAUAAACUCUUUUAAUAUUAUAUCAUUUAUUUGUGAAUAUUUAAUCUAAUUUUUUUAAAUUUAAAAUAAAUUACCUUAGGGAUAACAGCGUAAUUUUUUUUAGAGUUCUUAUUAAAAUAAAAGUUUGCGACCUCGAUGUUGGAUUAAAAUUAAUUUUAGGUGUAGAAGCUUAAAAUAUUAGGUCUGUUCGACCUUUAAAAUUUU
rnacentral:rRNA from 1 species